rnacentral:lncRNA from 1 species
GUAGGGAGCAGUAAGAAAAAGAAAGAUAAUAAAAAAGGGAAGCAGUUGAAAAAGUAGAACGGUAUGGGGGGGGGGGGAGGAAAAUUGUUGCAAAUUCACCAAGCUGUAUAUAACAGCCUUAGUUGGAUCAUAACUCUUAUUUCCUUACUCAAGGAUUUUAUGAGGAUCAACUAUGUAAAGCACUUAGCAUAGUGUCUGGCACACAGAUGUUGUUGUUGCUCGUCUUUCAUUUUUCAAAGACCAAUGACAUCACAAUGAGUGAUAUCAUGACUUAGGUGUGAUUUGGAUUUUAGUGAGGCAGAGUUGCACAAAGCCAUCAGCUUUACUCUUUCUUUCAGAAUCACUGAAGUUCAGCAGCAAGACAAAAGUCAGGAUGACUGGUGACAGCCCAGGAUUCAGUGAAUGACCUUGCCAAUUUCAACCUCCUACCAAAUUAUUAAUAUUCCACAAUACUUGCUUUUGUUACCUACAUGGCCAUUGGAACAAAUUGCUCUUAUCCAUUCAUUCUCACAUGCUUGGGAUGUUGUAGCUAUAACAUCCUCAGCAACCACAGCUGCUGAAGAUACAGAAAAAAAAGGUUACCAGCAAAGUCCUUGGCACUAUCAAAUGAUUUGGUACCAGAGACAGAUAUGGCUUUAUUAAUGGAAAUGCAAUUAAAGAAGUUAUAUUUACAUAUUUUUUUUUGCUGAUAUAUUGUAUGGACUACAGGGAGCUUUUCACCUGAGUUAAAGUUGAAACCUCUUGUAUGUUUUUGUCUCUCCCAUUAGAAUAUGAAUUCAAAGAGAGCUUAGGCUGUCUGUCUUUUCUCUUUGUAUCCUUAGUUCCUUACUCAGUUCUUUGUAUAGAGUAAUUCUUUUAAAAAAUUACUUUUCUUUCAUUCAUUCAUGCAUCCAGUCAUUCUAGAAGCAUUUAUUAAGGGUCAUUCUUUGAGUUAGCCUCUAGGUGUACAAAGGUAAAAGUGAAAUAGUGCCUAUCCUCAAGGAUUGUAUAUUCUACUAGCUAAAUACAACAUAUAUGAGCAUAUACAUAUUUUAGGAAUAUGUAUAUAUUAUGUAAAUAUAUCCCAAACAAUGAAUUUCUAUAUAAUUGCUACAUUUUAUUGUUAUAUUUAUAAUUAUCUUUUGGGAGUGGAGAAUAUGGAAGGGAGGUUUGGUUUGUCUCAAGCAAGCCAUAUAUAUACAAAUUAUCUCUUCACAACAACCUUGAGUUGUUGAGUUAUUUAAUAGUAGUGAAUAAAGUAUUACUAUCUUCAUUUUGUAGCCGAGGA